UACGAAGGGGGCUAGCGUUGUCCGGAUUUACUGGGCGUAAAGGAUGCGUAGGCGGACAUUUUAAGUCAGAUGUGAAAUACCCGAGCUUAACUUGGGUGCUGCAUUUGAAACUGGGUGUCUAGAGUGCAGGAGAGGUAAGUGGAAUUCCUAGUGUAGCGGUGAAAUGCGUAGAGAUUAGGAAGAACACCAGUGGCGAAGGCGACUUACUGGACUGUAACUGACGCUGAGGCAUGAAAGCGUGGGGAGCAAACAGG
rnacentral:rRNA from 1 species